UACGGGGGGGCAAGCGUUGUUCGGAAUUACUGGGCGUAAAGGGCGCGUAGGCGGCCACCGCAAGUCGACUGUGAAAUCUCCGGGCUUAACCCGGAAGGUCAGCCGAUACUGCGGGCUAGAGUGCAGGAAGGGCAACUGGAAUUCUCGGUGUAGCGGUGAAAUGCGUAGAUAUCGAGAGGAACACCUGCGGCGAAGGCGGGUUGCUGGGCCGACACUGCGCUGAGGCGCGAAAGCCAGGGAGCGAACAGG
rnacentral:rRNA from 1 species